GGAAGAGGAAGGGAUCCUCGCAAGCUUUGAAAGGCGCCGUCAAGUCAAAUAAAUAAAUGCCCUACAACACCAACCCAGGACUGAGAUCUGCAUGCUGGAAUGACGGUGGUGGUGGUGGCUUUCAGUAUUCCCCAGGUUUUGUCCGGAGCACCGGCACGCCCUCUCUUGAAGUCCGCUCUCCGCACAGUGGUUAGACGGGAAGAUCCGGAGCUGUCCAGUGUCUUGGGUAAUGCACGGCAUCGCCUGAUGUCUGACGCUAGAACACCACGUAAAGUCAAGCAGAGGGAAGUGAAUGCGCCCUAGGCCCCUGCAGGCCACCAAGAAGAGCUAGAGGGAGUUGGUGCAAUCCUAGAGAUGCCGGCAGGUGCACCAAUCUGUGGCACACGUACGCUCUCCAAUGGAAGACAACUCAAGACCACACCAAGUUUGUAUUAAAAAAGUACUGUUGUGUUACUUUUUACCAACCUCCAAUCAUUAUACAAAAUGUUAAAAAAUACACAAACACACACACACACUCACAGCCAUAGAGGUUAUCGCAAAAGAUCAACCCAGAAUCUUUCAGAAUAUGACAGAUGCACUGAGAAGGCAGAUAAAUUGAUUCAAUAUACAAAAGGCCUCUUUCCUAUGGAAUUUCAUUAGAUUAAAUAAGGUGUUCCCUCCUCACAGCCUCAUCCUUAUGAGCAAUCAUAUAAAUAAUCUAUUUAAAGUCCUUGAACUAUAACUUGUAUAAUUUUUAGUUUUCCCCCUUUGAAGGGGCCUAAGAGAAAGGUUUGAGAAACCAGCUCUUGAGGGGGGCAGGGGUGAGGGGUAAGAGGUCCUGUGCCUUUCAUUCAUCCUGGGAGCUUCUCAGGAUUGCAGCAUUUCCACCUGAGUGUUCAUUCUUGUACAUUUUCUCAUCUUUCUCCUGGGUUCCUAGGAUCUUGGAGAUUACCUAGUCCAAUCCUUUUACUUCAGAAACAAAAAACCUGAGGCUCAGAAAGGCUAAGUCAAAUGCCUAGGGUCACACAGGGAAACUGUGGGAGUUGGAUCCCUGAGUCCCAGUCCUUAAACUGGUUGCUACAUGACAUUCUAGAACCUCUCCCCACCAACUCCCUUUUUAAAGACAGGGUCUGGUUCUGUCACCCAGGCUGAAGUGCAGUGACAUGAUCUUGGCUCACUGCAACCUCCGCUUCCUGGGCUCAAGCCAUUCUCCCACCUCAGCCUCCCAAGUAGCUGGGACAACAGGCACAUGCCACUACGCCCAGUUAAUUUUUCUAAUUUUGUUUUGUAGAGACAGAUUUGCCAUGUUGCCCAGGCUGGUCUCGAAUUACUGGCCUCAAGCGAUACGCCUGUUUAGGCAUCCCAAAGUGCUGGGGUUACCGGCAGGAGCAAUUGCUCCGGGCCAGACUUCCCUUCCCCCGCCCACACCCCCCCAACCCGGCCUAGAUCCACAGGCACUGUAAUCACAGCUGACACACUCGACUCGGAAUCAGCAUAGAGAGCACUCUGAAAAUUGUCAAAUAGGGUCCCUGAAACUUGUAUACCAUACUUCUCCUGAAGAUCUUGAAGCAUCUUUGUGUUUGCUUUUUUUUUUUUUAACUUAAAAUAUGGCAUUCAGGUUUUAUCCCUCUCCCCGACGCCAUGUUUCCUUUCUGUAUUAGUCACACACGUGAUCCUAAAGUCUGUCUUCCCCACUUUAACUGGGGAGGGCUGGACAAGGUGGAAUUCCAAUUGCAGGAGACAGGAUGUGACAUGGGUGAGGUGCCCAAGGCUCACCGACUGAAACUUCGAUGGCUCUUCCCUGUUUCCUUGUGCAGGGCCCCCCUUCUCUCCACUGCUCACCUGGCUCUCCUCCUCCCUUCCUGCCUGCUUUGCAGCUCUUGCUACUAUUUUCCUUUUCUUUCCCUGCUCCCACCCUGGCCCAAUUUAUUUCACAGAAAUAUCACAGGGCCAGCCAGGCACAGCGGCUCACCCCUGUAAUCCCAGCACUUUACGAGGCUGAGGAGGGCAGAUCACUUGAGGUCAGGAGUUUGAGACCAGCCUGGCCAACAUGGUAAAAUCCUGUCUCUACUAAAAAUACAAAAAUUUGCUAGGCAUGGUGGCAGGCGCCUGUAAUCCCAGCUACUUGCGAGGGAGGCUGAGGCAGGAGAAUCACUUGAACCUGGGAGGCGGAUGUUGCAGUGAGCCAAGAUCACACCAUUGCGCUCCAGCUUGGGCGACAGAACGAGACUCUGUCUCAAAAAAAAAAAAAAAAAAGAACGAAAGAAGAGAAAUAUCAUAGGGUCCUGGACCACCUCUGAAACUGUGGGGAACCCUGCUCCCUGGUAGACAUGAUGCAGAAACAUCCUAAGUGCAUUAGUGUAAAGGAAAGGUGCACAUGUGCUUCCUUCAAAGUGCACCACUUUGAAUAUGUAAACAAUGCACUGAAUGAUACUAUGGUCCCCAUACUGGGAAUGUGCAUAGGUGAUGUCACCUGGAAGAAAGGAACACCACAGUUUCCUCCUCCUUCCCUUGGAGAACACUUGCAGACGAUAAGGCAGCAAGUUAGGAUGCAGAGACAAAGAACCCUGUAGGUGCUUGUCUGUCCAAGUUCAUUCAAUAGUUUUGGAGUCAUCUCAUUAUAUAACCAUCCCCAAGGUCAACAUCUGACUCAGAAGUGUCACUUUGAUCAGAUGGAGCAUCUUCGGACCACAGGCCCUCUGAAGAGGGGCUGGGAAAGGUUGGCUGUGUCCCUUCCCCGCUGGCCAGCAAAUGGUUUGAUUGCACAUUAUCAGGAUCCUCUGGGUCAACCAUCUCUUCCAGAUGAGACGAUAGCAUCAGAGGGGCUUCUAAGUCGUCACUGUCCUCGUCAUCAAGAACUCUCAAAAACACAGAGUUUAAGUCCACAUUGAAGGUAAUUCUGCCCCCAGACCCCUCCGUGGAGCUGUAGUCCUCUUCGGGAAAAGGGUCCUGGAGUGGACUCUUUCUCCUCUCACAGGGCCCACUCAAGAGUUCCAACUGCUGAGGGCUGUCCUUUGGCAUCGUGGGGAGCUCCACAUCAACCUCAGGCAGGUCAGGCUCCUCCUCGGACUCCGGGUCUAUCAACUGGGAUUCUGUAGAGGUGGCAGAGGCCUGACCCAGAGGCCUGACAGUCAGUCCAUGCAUGGUAUAGCCACCGCCACUUGUCCUGGGCGCUGCCUCAGUAUCGCUAUCACUUUCAUCAUCAUAAUUAUAAUCCCACACUUUCUUCUUUCUGUUGAUGUAAAUGACCUCCACCAUAUCCAUGGCUUCCAACGGUGGCAGGUUAGGAAAUGGCCAGGCUAAAAAGUUAUGAAAAUUCUUAAAAAAAAAAAAAAAGAGAGAGAGAGUCCGUAUCAGCUGUACUGUUUGCUCUUUAUUUUCUACAUAAUAAAACUUAAUCACUGGGGCACAGGGAUGCACGCUUGUAAUCCCAGCUACUGGGGAAGCUUAGGCAGGACGACUGUUUGAGCUCAGGAGUUUCAGACUGUAGUGCAUUAUGACUGCACCUGUGAAUAGCCACUGCAUUCCAGCCCUUAGCGAGACCUUGCCUCUAAAAAAAUAAAAAAUAAACUUAAUGAGAUUGAAUGAUGAUGCAGUUGAUGAUGAUGACAGCAAUAAUAACAGCUAACAGUUACACCAUGCUUACUAUAUGCUGGGCAUGACUCUUGGUGCUUUAUAUAUAAUUUACCUUUCCCUUGCAACUGCUCUAUGAGGUAUGCUU
rnacentral:lncRNA from 1 species